rnacentral:lncRNA from 1 species
GAUCGCCUCAAGAUUGAUGAGGGUCGACAAGGAUGAUGUCGGGAUCGUUUCCCCUAAAUCGAACAGAGGUAAAUAUGGAUUUCAGAUAAACUUUAGAGAGUUUCAGUUGUGAUUUAGAUUUUGGGGUUUUCUCCAUAUGUUGAUGAUUUUUGUGAUCGUUCUUGGCAUCGAGAAUCGAUGGAGCCUCCGGGAGUCGGAGAUCAUGGCGGCGUUGAGAUUGAUGGUUUUGGGCCCCAAGAGACUCGGAAGAUCAUCAGUGAAGAUAGCCUUUUUGCAAGGUCAGAAAAGUUCAAUGCCCGAUCUGCAAGUUUGGAAAGUUAAUUGACCUCUCUGUGGUUUCUUUAUAGUUUAAGGAUCAAGUUGUAGUUUUUGGAAAUUGGAUGACUGAUCUAACAUAAGUAUAAUAUCCAGGGACUGGUUUUUGCCAAGCUGGGAAGUGAAAGGACGAUUCUGCCCCUGUAAGUUUCAGAUUGUUACAAAGGAGUAAUUUGAGGAUAACUCGAUAGUUUGAGCUCUAAAAGACGCACGGUCAAAGGCUACGGAUUUGUGGCAGCGAGAGGAAUAAUGUCAAGUCAGAAUAAGAUAUGUAAACUCUUCAUAAGAGAGGUGAGGUCUAGGAUUACUUUUCUACUUUAAGCGUAGAAUUGUAAUUAGGUGGUCAGGAAUCCAUUGAAUGAUUCUCAGAACUGUACAGUAGUGUGUGAUCUACUGUACAUGUGGUUUAUUUUAGAUCAGUACUCUUAGGUUGUAUAGUAGCGUGUGAUCUACUGUAUAAAUAGUUAUUUUAUUUCUAGCAUAAGUUCUUGGCGAUUGAACUGUGGCGUGUGAUUCAUAAUUCAGAUUAGGACAAGAUCAGGAUUAGCUAGAUUAGCUCUCGUUUAUGCGUUGGUCACCCAAUCAUGGAUGGUGUAAUCCCCCACGAUUCAUUCAGGUUCAGACAGGACGUGAUGAGUUAACCUUUUGUGUUGUUCUCACGGUAUUUUAAGGGGGUUUCAUGGUCUGAUCCACAAUGAUGUUGUUCGCUCUUAGGUAGGGGUGGCUGAUGCUAGGGUGAUGCCUACAGGACCACAUGGUCACAUUAUUAGUUUCAGUGUUUAGAUAGAAUUCUUCUCCUAUCCUCAGUAAAGUGUCAGUACAAAUACAGUAAAUUCUCAAUAAAGGCUCAGUAAAGUCUCAGUACAGGCGUAGUAAAAUCUUAGUUCAGUUUCAGUUCUACGCAAGACUAGUUUAGCCACUCAGUGUUUAUCACUAACCAUGUUAGAUAUUGUUUUCCGUGCUGUAUCUAUAUGUUCAGUCACAGGUAUUGGAGCUGAUGGUGGAGAGAGAGUUGGUCAGGGUUUUGAUAUAUCUUAUGAUAUCGUUUUUUGGUGUAUUUUUCAGAAGUGGAGUUGUAUCUCUUUUUGUUGUGUUGUGUUUUGAGAUCCGAGACCCCUGUAGGUCAAAUCUUUAAAUGGUUAUUUAAUGAUGUUCAGUUCCAGCUUUUAUUGCUUGUUCAAUGUUUUGAUUAGUGGUUU